rnacentral:rRNA from 1 species
CCCUGCCCUUUGUACACACCGCCCGUCGCAACUACCGAUUGAAUGGCUCAGUGAGGCCUUCGGACUGGCCCAGGGAGGUCGGCAACGACCACCCCGGGCCGGAAAGUUGGUCAAACUCGGUCAUUUAGAGG